rnacentral:rRNA from 1 species
AUUGAACGCUGGCGGCAGGCUUAACACAUGCAAGUCGAGCGAGCGGCGGACGGGUGAGUAAUGUCUGGGAAACUGCCUGAUGGAGGGGGAUAACUACUGGAAACGGUAGCUAAUACCGCAUACCAUCAGAUGUGCCCAGAUGGGAUUAGCUAGUAGGUGGGGUAAUGGCUCACCUAGGCGACGAUCCCUAGCUGGUCUGAGAGGAUGACCAGCCACACUGGAACUGAGACACGGUCCAGACUCCUACGGGAGGCAGCAGUGGGGAAUAUUGCACAAUGGGCGCAAGCCUGAUGCAGCCAUGCCGCGUGUGUGAAGAAGGCCUUCGGGUUGUAAAGUACUUUCAGCGGGGAGGCGUUACCCGCAGAAGAAGCACCGGCUAACUCCGUGCCAGCAGCCGCGGUAAUUC